GACGUAGGGCGCGAGCGUUGUCCGGAUUUAUUGGGCGUAAAGAGCUCGUAGGCGGCUUGUCGCGUCGUCCGUGAAAACCUGCAGCUCAACUGCAGGCUUGCGGUCGAUACGGGCAGGCUGGAGUUCGGUAGGGGAGACUGGAAUUCCUGGUGUAGCGGUGAAAUGCGCAGAUAUCAGGAGGAACACCGGUGGCGAAGGCGGUCUCUGGGCCGAUACUGACGCUGAGGAGCGAAAGCGUGGGGAGCGAACAGG
rnacentral:rRNA from 1 species